UCAAUAUUGACAUUAUCUUUUAAAUUAAAUUGCAUGGAAGUUACUUUAGAGUUGUCAAGCUACUGGUAGAAUUCACUUUUUUCCCCCUAGCCCUUUCAGUUAACAAAAAAAGACCAAAAGAAUUUCUGCUUGAUAGGGAGUUUAUGGCUCCCUAGCACAUUUUUGUGCAGAAGAGAAAUGGACAGAAUCUCCACAGACUGAGCAAAGCUCAAAUUAAUGCGAGCUUCAGCAGACCUGAGACCUUGCCAGCAUCUGCGCCCUCAGUCUCCAGACUGGAUGUGCACCAGGCCCAACCUACCAGGGGCUAGGUCACAGGGCAUCCGGAGGCCUGCUGCCCUCUGCCUGCUGCAGUCUUCUUAAGCCCAUUUUUUUGUUGUUGUUGGUCUUUCAAUUUGCAAACUGCAGCCAACAUUCUUUUCCUGGUCCACUUACUUCACUGGAGAACUGAGCUUCAGACACAGAAAUUGCCAUAAACAUUUUGAGUUGAUUCAUGACACGGAGGCAGCCAUGAUAGCACAACUAAAGACACUCAGGAAGUGAGACUUCCAGACCUGCUUAAGAGAGUGGCAAGAAGGAUGGGGAUUGUGGGUGAUGAUCUCUAACCAACAGGAUCUUGUUUGCAAAGGAGGAGAAAAAGGCGGAGAAAUCCCUCACUUCACAUGAGAUUAGGCAGGUGUGUUAAAUGUGGGAAACAGUGCAAAAUUUGUAGAAAACCACCACCCAAAUAAGGAUGUUGCAGUGCAAGCGAUGAAUCUGUUUUAUGACAGGCAAUGUCACAUUUUCAUAAACUCCUCAAACGGAGGCCAAAACAAGUAUCAUUGGAUAGGUUCCUUGUUAAAGUUGCAUGAAAAGAAAAAGAUACCACUGAGCCAAUGGAUAGCAGUGAUUCCUUUACUGAUAGUGAAAGUUGUUCUACACAGUAACCCUCCUCUCUCUUGUCUCCCUCAAACCAGCCACUAAUGUUUUUAAAGGGUGAAGGUAUUGGUUCUUAAUGCCAAGCAGAUGCACCUGUUAAUCACUUGAAAGGAAGCCUAGAAGAAAACUGUGCAAGAGAAAGUGUCGAGAGCCCAUGGGGACAGGCAAGAGUUGGCAGACCUGGUCAUCACUGAACUCAGUGCUGUCAUUAUACCUGGUGAGGUAGCUGAAUGCUGUGAGACCAACUGUUUAAUUAAUGCUCUUUGACUUUAAAAGAUUCUUCUCCAAACUGUUGCCAGCUCAGCUGCCAUUUUGAACAUUUCUAGAGUCAGGCCCUAGGAUUGUGGUUUGCAGUCUUUGCUGCACAUGAGAAUCACUUGGGGAGCUUUUUAAAACUCCCAAUGCCUGGGUCACAUUUGAGACCAGUUACUGCAAAAUUCCUGGGGUUGGAACCCAACAAUGUCAUUCUCCAGGGCACUCAGGAGAUUCCCCUGUGUUCUAGCAAAAGUGUCUAGUGGUUCCUGAAUUUGGCUACCCAUUGGAAUCACCUGGUAUCUCCAAAGCCAGCAAUGCAGGUGUCCUGCCACCAGAGAUUGUGCCUGGCCUGGCUUAUGAUCUGGAUUUUGGAUUUCUCAUAUACAAACAAUCUGUUCCUCUGUACCAUUACUUCCCUAUUUUCAAAGGAUGUGUGCCUCGCUCAGAGAUCUUGUCGGAAGGCAGACUCUGCCAUGGCUUCCAGGUGACAAGUGGCACGUGCACCGCACACCGAAGCCUCAGGGCUUUGGAACACACAGGAGAAGGUUUGCUUAUUUCUGGACCUUUUCAGUGUGGAAACCACUUUUAGAUCAAUGA